rnacentral:rRNA from 1 species
UUCCGGUUGAUCCUGCCGGACCCUACUGCUAUCGGGAUGAGACUAAAACAUGCUAGUUGAGCGAGCUGAGCGCGGCAAACGGCUCCGUAACACGUAGUUAAUCUGCCCUUUGGAUGGGAAUAACCCCGGGAAACUGGGGCUAAUACCUGAUAGGCGAAACGAUCUGGAAUGGCGUUUCACUGAAAGCUCCUUUGCCUAAGGAUGAGACUGCGACCGAUCAGGUUGUUGGUGGGGUAACGGCCUACCAAGCCGAUAACCGGUACGGGCCCUGAGAGGGGGAGCCCGGAGAUGGGAACUGAGACAAGGUCCCAGACCCUACGGGGUGCAGCAGUUGCGAAACCUCUACAAUGCACGAAAGUGUGACAGGGCUAUCCCGAGUGCCAUCCGCUGAGGAAGGCUUUUACCCAGUGUAGAAAGCUGGGGGAAUAAGGAGAGGGCAAGACUGGUGUCAGCCGCCGCGGUAAUACCAGCUCUCCGAGUGGUGUGGAUGUUUAUUGGGCCUAAAGCAUCCGUAGCUGGCUGGACAAGUCCCCUGUUAAAUCCACCGAUUUAAUCGUUGGUGUGCGGGGGAUACUGUUUGGCUAGGGGACGGGAGAGGCCGACGGUAUUCUCGGGGUAGGGGUAAAAUCCUAUAAUCCCGGGAAGACCACCAGUGGCGUAGGCGGUCGGCUAGCACGCGCUCGACGGUGAGGGACGAAAGCUGGGGGAGCGAACCGGAUUAGAUACCCGGGUAGUCUCAGCUGUAAACGAUGCUGGCUAGGUGUUGAAGCGGCUACGAGCCGCUUCAGUGCCGCAGGGAAGCCAUUAAGCCAGCCGCCUGGGGAGUACGGCCGCAAGGCUGAAACUUAAAGGAAUUGGCGGGGGAGCACCACAAGGGGUGAAGCUUGCGGUUUAAUUGGAUUCAACGCCGGA